UACGUAGGGGGCAAGCGUUGUCCGGAUUUAUUGGGCGUAAAGAGCGUGUAGGCGGCCAGACAGGUCCGUUGUGAAAACUCGAGGCUCAACCUCGAGACGUCGAUGGAAACCGUCGGGCUAGAGUCCGGAAGAGGAGAGUGGAAUUCCUGGUGUAGCGGUGAAAUGCGCAGAUAUCAGGAGGAACACCCGUGGCGAAAGCGGCUCUCUGGGACGGUACUGACGCUGAGAAGCGAAAGCAUGGGGAGCGAACAGG
rnacentral:rRNA from 1 species